GACGAAUCGUGCAAACGUUGUUCGGAAUCACUGGGCUUAAAGGGCGCGUAGGCGGGCAGGCAAGUCCGGGGUGAAAUCUUUCGGCUUAACCGGAAAAGUGCCUUGGAUACUGCUUGACUGGAGGGAGGUAGGGGCAUGUGGAACUUCUGGUGGAGCGGUGAAAUGCGUUGAUAUCAGAAGGAACGCCGGUGGCGAAAGCGACGUGCUGGACCUCUUCUGACGCUGAUGCGCGAAAGCUAGGGGAGCAAACGGG
rnacentral:rRNA from 1 species